GAUGAACGCUGGCGGCGUGCCUAAUACAUGCAAGUCGAGCGAACAGACGAGGAGCUUGCUCCUCUGACGUUAGCGGCGGACGGGUGAGUAGCACGUGGAUAACCUACCUAUAAGACUGGGAUAACUUUGGGAAACCGGAGCUAAUACCGGAUAAUAUAUUGAACCGCUUGGUUCAAUAGUGAAAGACGGUUUUGCUGUCACUUAUAGAUGGAUCCGCGCCGCAUUAGCUAGUUGGUAAGGUAACGGCUUACCAAGGCAACGAUGCGUAGCCGACCUGAGAGGGUGAUCGGCCACACUGGAACUGAGACACGGUCCAGACUCCUACGGGAGGCAGCAGUAGGGAAUCUUCCGCAAUGGGCGAAAGCUUGACGGAGCAACGCCGCGUGAGUGAUGAAGGUCUUCGGAUCGUAAAACUCUGUUAUUAGGGAAGAACAAAUGUGUAAGUAACUAUGCACGUCUUGACGGUACCUAAUCAGAAAGCCACGGCUAACUACGUG
rnacentral:rRNA from 1 species